AUUGAACGCUGGCGGAAUGCUUUACACAUACAAGUCGAACGGCAGCACGGACUUCGGUCUGGUGGCGAGUGGCGAACGGGUGAGUAAUAUAUCGGAACGUGCCCAGUCGUGGGGGAUAACGUAGUGAAAAUUACGCUAAUACCGCAUACGAUCUAUGGAUGAAAGCGGGGGACCUUUGGGCCUCGCGCGAUUGGAGCGGCCGAUAUCAGAUUAGGUAGUUGGUGGGGUAAAGGCUAACCAAGCCAACGAUCUGUAGCUGGUCUGAGAGGACGACCAGCCACACUGGGACUGAGACACGGCCCAGACUCCUACGGGAGGCAGCAGUGGGGAAUUUUGGACAAUGGACGCAAGUCUGAUCCAGCCAUUCCGCGUGCAGGACGAAGGCCUUCGGGUUGUAAACUGCUUUUGUACAGAACGAAAAGGUUUCUACUAAUACUAGGAGCUCAUGACGGUACUGUAAGAAUAAGCACCGGCUAACUACGUGCCAGCAGCCGCCGUAA
rnacentral:rRNA from 1 species